ACCAAUCUUUUAUCUCUCUUCCU
rnacentral:siRNA from 1 species